rnacentral:rRNA from 1 species
CCUACGGGUGGCUGCAGCAAGGAAUUUUCCCCAAUGGGCGCAAGCCUGAGGGAGCAACGCCGCGUGGUGGAUGACGGCCUUCGGGUUGUAAACACCUUUUGCGUGGGACGAUAAUGACGGUACCACGAAAAUAAGCCCCGGCUAACUCCGUGCCAGCAGCCGCGGUAAGACGGAGGGGGCAAGCGUUGUCCGGACUUACUGGGCGUAAAGGGUCCGUAGGCGGCCUGCUGCGUCGGUGCUGAAAGCGCCCGGCUUAACCGGGCGAGGCGUGCCGA